rnacentral:rRNA from 1 species
GUGUCAGCCGCCGCGGUAAUACGGAGGAGGCAAGCGUUAUCCGGAAUUAUUGGGCGUAAAGCGUCCGCAGGUGGCACUUCAAGUCUGUCGUCAAAGACUGGGGCUUAACCCUGGAAAGGCGGUGGAAACUGAAGCGCUAGAGUGUGGUAGGGGUAGAGGGAAUUCCCGGUGUAGCGGUGAAAUGCGUAGAGAUCGGGAAGAACAUCGGUGGCGAAAGCGCUCUACUGGACCACAACUGACACUCAGGGACGAAAGCUAGGGGAGCGAAUGGGAUUAGAAACCCCCGUAGUCC